GCACUGCUGAGGAGUCCAAUAAUAGGACUAAACGGCAGUCCAAUGC
rnacentral:hammerhead_ribozyme from 1 species